UACGUAGGUGACAAGCGUUGUCCGGAUUUACUGGGCGUAAAGAGCGCGCAGGCGGUCGAUCAAGUCGAGUGUGAAAGCCCCCGGCUCAACUGGGGAGGGUCAUUCGAUACUGAUCGACUCGAAGGCAGGAGAGGGUAGUGGAAUUCCCGGUGUAGUGGUGAAAUGCGUAGAUAUCGGGAGGAACACCAGUGGCGAAGGCGACUACCUGGCCUGUUCUUGACGCUGAGGCGCGAAAGCUAGGAGAGCAAACGGG
rnacentral:rRNA from 1 species